UAGGUUGCUAAGCCAUUCCUGUGCCUGUC
rnacentral:piRNA from 1 species